CGUUUAGGGGUAAACCUGAGAAACCCGAAAGGUCGAAGGGAGAAAUUCAUUCGCGUUUCGAGAUCGGCGAUGGACGGUCGAGUGACGGAAAUUCGGGUUCGCGCUCGUUUUUUCCGCUCCUUCCGUCUAUUUCGAACCGGUAACGAACGCGUGCACUUUUCUCCUGGUAGGACGUCGCGAUCCGUCGGGUGUCGGUCUACAGUUCGCGGUGGAGCCCGUUCGUCGUUCUCGCGAACGUACGAGCGGACCCGCGUAACUCGGCCGACUCGCUCGACGGUAUACGAAUGGUCGGAGGCCGCUCGUUUAGAAGCGUUCGACUCGUCGCAAGCGCGUUAGAUGUGUUGGCUCGCGGACCUAGUGCCGCGUCUGACCACUGGCGACUGUUGGCGACGAAGUUCUCGAACAGACCUCUAUCUAUAGACCGAUCUGCGACGCUAUAGCUUUGGGUAAUUUCAGGACCCGUCUUGAAACACGGACCAAGGAGUCUAGCAUGUACGCGAGUCAUUGGGAAUCACUAAACCUAAAGGCGUAAUGAAAGUAAAGGUCUUCCUAGCGAGGACCGAGGGAAGACGGGCGGUUUAGCCGUUAAAAGCAGCCGUCCCGCAUUCCCGGGGCGUCUCGUUCUCAUCGCGAGAAGAGGCGCACCAAGAGCGUACACGCUGGGACCCGAAAGAUGGUGAACUAU
rnacentral:rRNA from 1 species